rnacentral:misc_RNA from 1 species
UACGGAGGGUGCAAGCGUUAUUCGGAAUUACUGGGCGUAAAGCGCACGCAGGCGGUCUGUCAAGUCGGAUGUGAAAUCCCGGGGCUCAACCGGGGAACUGCAGCUGAAACUGGCAGGCUAGAGUCUUGUAGAGGGGGGCAGAAUUCGAGGUGUAGCGGUGAAAUGCGUAGAGAUCUGGAGGAAUACCGGUGGCGAAGGCGGCCCCCUGGACAAAGACUGACGCUCAGGCGCGAAAGCGUGGGCAGCAAACAGG